rnacentral:rRNA from 1 species
ACCAGACUCCUACGGGAGGCAGCAGUGGGGAAUAUUGCACAAUGGGGGAAACCCUGAUGCAGCGACGCCGCGUGAGUGAAGAAGUAUUUCGGUAUGUAAAGCUCUAUCAGCAGGGAAGAAAAUGACGGUACCUGACCAAGAAGCCCCGGCUAACUACGUGCCAGCAGCCGCGGUAAUACGUAGGGGGCAAGCGUUAUCCGGAUUUACUGGGUGUAAAGGGAGCGUAGACGGUGAUGCAAGUCAGAAGUGAAAGCCCGGGGCUCAACUCCGGGACUGCUUUUGAAACUGUGUAACUGGAGUGCAGGAGAGGUAAGCGGAAUUCCUAGUGUAGCGGUGAAAUGCGUAGAUAUUAGGAGGAACACCAGUGGCGAAGGCGGCUUACUGGACUGUAACUGACGUUGAGGCUCGAAAGCGUGGGGAGCUAACAGGAUUAGAUACCCUUGUAG